UUAGUAUUUAUUUAUUUACAGUUAAUGUUUGUGUUUUUGAUUUUUUUUUAUACUGUAUAUUUAAAAAAAAAAUCAUAAACAUGGAAAGUCUUAAACUGGAAACUUCUUAUGUUUGUUUUAAUAUUUCAUUUGUUUAUGGCAAUUUAGGCAUAGAUAUAAAAUUUGUGAUAGUAAUACCAUACAAUGGCAUCAGGUACUUAUGGAAGUUCAAUUGUAAUAUGUUAUUGUUUAAAUCAGGCCAGGGCAAUAUGCGGCCCACCACAUUAAAUUGUGCGGCAUGCCGGCAGAUUUUAUACUUCUAUUCAAAACGUUUGUAUCUCGUUGUAUGUAUACAAAAAAUAUUAAACAAAUAUUUGCAUGUAUCAUUGUUAUAAUGCACAAGUGCAACUAUGAACUCCAGUUCUAUAUUUAUUUUCAGAUUAUAUAAAAAAUGCAAAUUAUUUUGCACGAGUUUUAAGUGCUUUUGGCUCU
rnacentral:lncRNA from 1 species